rnacentral:rRNA from 1 species
UACGUAGGUGGCAAGCGUUGUCCGGAUUUAUUGGGUUUAAAGGGUGCGUAGGCGGUCCAUUAAGUCAGUUGUGAAAUACGGCAGCUUAACUGUCGAGGUGCAAUUGAUACUGGAGGACUUGAGUACAGACGAGGUAGGCGGAAUUGACGGUGUAGCGGUGAAAUGCAUAGAUAUCGUCAAGAACACCGAUAGCGAAGGCAGCUUACUAGACUGUAACUGACGCUGAGACGCGAAAGCGUGGGGAGCGAACCGG